rnacentral:lncRNA from 1 species
CUUUUGCGUGCCUUCCACCGCCGCGAGCUCGGAAUGUCUGGCCCCGGGUGCUUCAGGGUCCGAGAACCUGCAGAAGUUCACACUUAAAUCCUACACGAGAGUCGUAUUUAUGAUGCAGAACUCGGUGCAGAACCCGAUGGAGUGCCCAAGGCGCUUGAGCCGUUCCUAGAAGGGGAAGGAGAGCCGCGGGCGGCAGCGGGGCAGGGGACGGAAUUGGGAAGCUUGGGAGCAGGAAGAAGGCCAGAGCUACUUAGGGCCAUGCGCGGUGGCUCACGCUUGUAAUCCCAGCACUUUGGGAGGCCGAGGCGGGCAGAUCACGAAGUCAGAAGAUCGAGACCAUCCUGGCUAACACGGUGAAACCCCGUCUUUACUAAAAAUACAAAAAAUUAGCCGGGCUUGGUGGCGGGCGCCUGUAGUUCCAGCUACUCGAGAGGCUGAGGCAGGAGAAUGGCGUGAACCCGGGAGGCGGAGCUUGCAGUGAGCCGAGAUCGAGCCACUGCACUCCAGCCUGGGCAACAGAGCGAUACUCUGUCUGAAAAAAAAAAAAAAAGUUUACAUACAUUAUCGAGUUCAAUCCUUAAUCCCAUAAGGCAGAUAGAUACCCCAUCUUCCCUUUACAGAAAAAAGAAACUGGGUCAGAAAGAUUAGAAACUUGCCCAAAGGCAUGCAGCCAAUAAUAAGUAGGGGAGCCCAGGAUUCAAACUAUCUGACUAAUCCCUGCAAUCUAAACAAUACGCUAUACUGUCCCAGAAAGAGGCUGGAAAAAUCAUUUUCAGUCAUUAGCUUAAAGUCCACUCCGAUGCUUACAGAUAAUGUUAUUAUCUUUGACUUGAAGCCUUUGCAUUCUCUAUUUCCAAUUACCUUGGAAAAUAAGGAAUUGGAUAUGCUUAGGUUAGAGGUGGGGAAUUCCCAGAAAACAUAGAAAAGGUUGUCUCAUGUCAAGUUGGUCAGGGUCUUAAAUGUUAAGCUAAAGACUUUGGACUUCAUCUGCUAGGCAUUGUGGUACCUGUGGGGUUUCUGUGUAGGGAAGGACCAAAUAAAACAUCUGAGGGGGGGGAUAUGGCAAUAAUUUGCAACUUCUGGUGGUAGCUAUAGAGAAGGAUAAAGGGUAUAGCCUCAGGGAAUUUGUACAUUUAAAAAUAAAGGAUUUGGGCAGGUUGUCAUGGUUCACUCCUGUAAUCCCAGCACUUUGGGAGGCCAAGGCGGGCAGAUCACUUGAAGUCAGUAGUUCAAGACUAGUCGGGCCAAUGUGGCGAAACCCUGUCUCUACUAGAAGUACAAAAUUAGCCAGGUGUGGUGGUGCACACCUGUAAUCCCAGCUACCUGGGAGGCUGAGGCAGGGGAAUCGCUUGAACCUGGGAGGCGCAGGUUGUAGUGAGCGAGGUCGCGCCACUGCACUCUAGCCUGGGUGACAGAGGGAGACUUUGUCUCAAAAUAAUAAUAAUAAUAAAUGAAUGAAGGAAGGCAAUGGAAAUUAUCCAGACAUGGAUCUUGAAGUGGGAGAUACCCUAAUAUAUGUAGUCAAGUGGAAUGAUGACAGAAAGGGUCAGAUUUGGCCAUUGAAAAUCAAAUUACCGAUGACUUUGGAGAGAGCAGGAUCAGGAAAGUGGGUGCUUGAGAUCCAUUUUGGAGGAGUUGCGGAAAGAAUGAAAUAGGGAGAACGGGAAGCCGGCAAGUAUAGGUGACUUGUGUAGCCCAUCCCCUGAUAUCCUCUAUAUUCGUUUGCUAGAGUUACUGUAACAAAGUACCACAAACUGGCUUAAAUGACAGAAAUUGGUUGUCUCACAAUUCUGGAGGUUAGAAGUUCCAGAUCAAGGUGUCAUGAGAGUUGUGUGAGAACCGUGAGGAAGAAUCUGUUCCAUGCCUCUCUCCUGGCUUCUGGUGGUGGUUUGCCGGCAAUCUUUGUCAUUCCUUGGCUUAUAGAAGAAUCGCCCUGUUCUCUGCCUUCAUCUUCACUUGGCUUUCUUUCUGUGUGUAUGUGUGUCCAAUUUUCUCUUUUUAUAAGAAUACCAAUCAUAUUGAACUAGGGCCCUGACCUCAUCUUAACUAAUUAUAUCUGCAAUGACCCUAUUUCCUAAUAAGGUCGUAUUUGAAGUACUGGGAGUUAAGACUUCAACAUCUGGCUGGGUGUGGUGGCUUACACUUGUAAUCCCAGCACUUUGGAAGGCCAAGGCCAGAGGAUUGCUUGAGCUCAUGAGUUUGGGACCAGUCUGGGCAACAUAGUAUCACCUUGUCUCUAAAAAAAAUACAGAAAACAGGCCUGCGCGGUGGCUCACACCUGUAAUCCCAGCACUUUGGGAGGCUGAGGCGGGCGGAUCACUAGGUCAGGAGAUCGAGACCAUCCUGGCUAACGCGGUGAAACCCUGUCCUGCGAAAAAUAUAAAAAAAAUUCGCCGGGCAUGGUGGCGGGCGCCUGUAGUCUCAGCUACUCGGGAGGCUGAGGCAGGAGAAUGGCGUGAACUCGGGAGGUGGAGCUUGCAGUAGGCCGAGAUCGCGCCACUGCACUCCAGCCUGGGCGACAGAGCAAGAUUCCAUCUCAAAAAAAAAUAAUAAUAAUACAGAAAACAUUAGCCAAGCUAGUGGUGCACACCUGUAAUUCCAGUAGUCCCAGCUACUUGGGAGGCUGAGGUGGGAGGAUCGCUUGAGACCAGGAGUUUGAGGCUGCAGUGAGCCGUGACCACACCACUGCAUUCCAGCCUGGGCGACAGAGUGAAGACCCUGUCUCAAAAAAAAAAAAAAAAACAAAAAAACUUUUAUCUUUUUUUGUGGUGUGGUCUUGGCUCACUGCAACCUCUGCCUCCCGGUUUCAAGUCAUUCUUGUGCCUCAGCCUCCCAAGUAGCUGGGAUUUCAGGUGUGUGCCACCGGGCCCGGCCAAAAAAAAAAAAAAAAGGACUUUAACAUGUGAAUUUGAGGGAGAGGAGAGGAAUAGAAUUCAAUCCAUAAUAUCCUCCUACUGUUGGAACCCAAGCAGAAACCAAAGCCCAGGAGAAUGCUUGGAUGCCAGCCAUAUGAAUCAGCCUUGCUAAGCAUAGGACAAGAUGGAGAAGGAUGGAGAAUAGGUCUGGGUGGGACAAAUGGAUGACAUCCAGUAUACCCAAUCUCCAUAAUUCCUCCCCAGCCACAUGAAAGGCUCUGACUUUACUCCUAGGGACUCAAGACUGGAAUGGGAAGAGCAUGAAAUUGAGCUGUCUAUCCCCCUGGAUCUCUCAUUGCCACCUGCCCAUAGGUUGGCUGCACCCCUCCACCAAAGAAAGGCCAUGACUCCUUCCUGGCAGCCCUGUCUUACAGCUACUCUCUGGUGAUCUGGGAACCACUCCCUCCCUUACCCCUUGAUGCCUAGGGCUAGUGCCAGCACCUUGUUGUUGUUAGCCUCAGAGGCACUUGCACUGUUCCUUGAUGGUUUUCCCAAAUCUUGCCCUCAUCUUUGUAAAUACUGUUUGCCGUUUAUUACACUGUCAUCAUAUUACCCAAUUUGAGUGUGUCAUCUAUUUCUUCCAAGACCCUGACUGAUACAGUGGGUAUAUUUGGAGCCAGAAAAAACAAUGACAACAAAACCAUUUGUUUGAGAAUUAGAAUGUGUUAGGAGAGUCCAUAAUCAGAACUGUCUGAGCACAUUUACUGCUGCCUAUGAACGGUUUAGAGGAUGAGGACAGCUGGCAUGGGAUUAAGGUAACCUUGUCCAGAAAGAUUUCAUUCAUUUAGAAAAAAUUUAUUGAAGGCCUACUAUCAUGCACCAAGCACUACUCUAGGUGCUGGGGGAAAAGGACAAAUAAAUCAUGUUCCUUUCCCUCAAGGAGCUCACAAUCUAGUAGCAGGGGACAGAUAUGUAAACAGUUAGUUGCAUAAAGCAUCACAGUGCUGUAGUAGAUGUCUGAGCUAGAGAUAAGAACUUUGGAAUGGUCAACAUAUAGUAAAGGCAGAGAAUAGAUGGGAUUGGAGACUGUUAAGAAAUGGAAUCUUGAAGGACUGUAAUAAUUGGAAGAAAUGCUAGAAGAGGAGAGUAAGAAGGAAUAAUUAUAACAGUAGUUCGGAUAUAUGAAUCAUUUACUAUGUCCUAGGGACUGUGCUUUACUUAGAUUAUCUCAAUCCUCGUCACAACUCUAUGGGG